GAUGAAUGCUGGCGGCGUGCCUAACACAUGCAAGUCGAGCGGCAGCGAGUUUUACACUGCUUUCUGGAAGCUUCUGCGUAGUACAGAAGAUUUAUUCAAGAGUUUUGUGUAAAAUGUCGGCGCGCGGCGGACGGCUGAGUAACGCGUAGGAAUUUGCGCCAAAGUGGGGGAUAACUGCGCGAAAGGGUAGCUAGUUCCGCAUAUGGCCGUUUGGUUAAAGCGUUCGGGCGAUUUGGGAGAAGCCGGCGUUGGAUUAGGUAGUUGGUAGGGUAAUGGGCUACCAAGCGGACGAUAGAUAGCUGGGAUGAGAGGAUCAGCAGACAGACUGGAACUGAGACACAGUGGAGACUCCUACGGGAGGCAGCAGUGAGGAAUCUUCCACAGUGGGCGAAAGCCUGAAGGAGCAAGGCCGGGUGAAGAAUGAAGGCCUUCGGGAUGUAAACUACUUUUAUGAGUGAAGAAUAUGACGGUAACUCAUGAAUAAGCACCGGCUAACUACGUG
rnacentral:rRNA from 1 species